CGUUCCAGAGCUGCCACAUUGGUGAGGAGGACGAAGGGGGAGAACAGGAGGGGGAGGAACCAUCCUUUGAGGAAAAAGAGAUGGAGAAACAGAGGCUUCUGUACCAGCAGUCCCGGCUACACAACCGAGGGGCUGCAGAGAUGGUGCUGCAGAUGAUCAGCGCCUGCAAAGGUGAACCUGGUGCCAUGGUU